rnacentral:rRNA from 1 species
ACCCGCACAAGCGGUGGAGCAUGUUGCUUAACUCGACGCAACGCGAAGAACCUUACCGGGUUUGAAGUGUGCUUGAAGGGUGCAGAGAUGCAUUCCGCUCUUCGGAGCAGGUACAUCAGGUGCUGCACGGCUGUCGUCAGCUCGUGUCGUGAGAUGUUGGGUUAAGUCCUGUAACGAGCGCAACCCUUAUUCGUAGUUGCCAUCAGGUAAAGCUGGGAACUCUACGGAGACUGCCGGUGAUAAACCGGAGGAAGGUGGGAUGACGUCAAGUCAUCGUGGCCCUUACGUCCCGGGCUGCAAACGUGCUACAAUGGUCGGUACAAAGAGAUGCAAGACCGCGAGGUGGAGCAAAUCUCAAAAAACCGAUCUCAGUUCGGAUUGCAGUCUGCAACUCGACUGCAUGAAGUUGGAAUCGCUAGUAAUCGCGGAUCAGCAUGCCGCGGUGAAUACGUUCCCGGGUCUU